rnacentral:rRNA from 1 species
GAAUCAAUAUAUUGGUCGUGCCUUGGUACGUACUGAUAUUAUUGGUUUCUACCUUCUGAAGAACCUCGAUGUCAUUAAUUUGGUGUCUUGGGGAAUCAGGACUGUUACUUUGAAAAAUUAGAGUGUUUAAAGCAGGCUCGCGCUUGAAUACAUUAGCAUGGAAUAAUGAAAUAGGACGUUUGAUUCUAUUUUGUUGGUUUCUAGGAUCGACGUAAUGAUUAA